rnacentral:rRNA from 1 species
AUACGGAGGAUCCGAGCGUUAUCCGGAUUUAUUGGGUUUAAAGGGUGUGUAGGCGGGAAGGCAAGUCGGAUGUGAAAAUUAUGGGCUCAACCCAUAAAGUGCGACCGAAACUGUUUUUCUUGAGGAUCGGAGAGGUAAUGAGAAUUCCCGGUGUAGCGGUGAAAUGCGCAGAGAUCGGGAGGAAUACCGGUGGCGAAGGGGAAUUACUGGCCGAUACCGGACGCUGAGAAACGAAAGCGUGGGGAGCAAACAGGAUUAGAUACCCUGGUAGUCCACGCCGUAAACGAUGGAUGCUAGAUGUCGGGGGGUUGCCCUCGGUGUCGUAGUUAACGCGUUAAGCAUCCCGCCUGGGGAGUACGGUCGCAAGGCUGAAACUCAAAUGAAUUGACGGGG